rnacentral:piRNA from 1 species
UAGGUGGAAAUAUUUGAUUACCGGCUGGU